rnacentral:lncRNA from 1 species
GAAAUCCAUUUUUUCCAGAGUUGGGUACUGAUACUUCCCUUGCUCAUGUAUUCUUUUCAGGAAGUGCAUUUGCCGAAUGGUUAAGAGCCCAGACUCUGAAGUCAGCACUAUAGCUCUGUCACUUACAGCCUUGUAUAUCCCUUGUAGAUACUGCAUGGUCGAAGUAAGCAUGGAUUUGGGACUGACUGAGGGAUGUGAAGAAGAACAAAGGAGUCAGGUAACCAAGGGUGGUAGUCUUUGGAGGGAUUCGCUACGUAAUCUGGAGAUGAGAGGGCACAGGGGUCAUGAAGUGUAGACAGAUUAGAAGGGGUGAAGGGACGAGGCUCUUUGUGAAGGUGAAAAGAAAGCUUAGUGGAUGUUAGGGUCAGAUGUUGGUUUUCUGAGUUUAAGCUUUCAGAAGAAGAAUAACUCUGGGAUUCUGGACAAAGAGAUAGUUUGGAAUGUGACCAUGGAUGUGGGUUGCUAGAAUACAGGCGAAGGUCACUGGAGUUGAGGUGAUUUAGAGACCUUUGAUUAUAGAGUACAGGUGAGUCACUGAUUUAGAAACUAACAUUAUUAAAAAGUUGGCAGGAAAGGAAAAAAUAAUUUGUCCUGUUUGUUCAUUCACCUGGAUUUAUUCAACAAACACUGAUCAGUAUGUAUUUGUCUUAGUAUUGCUGCUGCUGUGCUAAGUCAUUUCAGUCGUGUCUGACUCUGUGCGACCCCAUAGACAGCAGCCCACCAGACUCCCCUGUCCCUGUGAUUCUCCAGGCAAGAACAUUGGAGUGGGUUGCCAUUUCCUUCUCCAAUGCAUGAAAGUGAAAAGUGAAAGUGAAGUCGCUCAGUUGUGUCUGACUCUUCGCGACCCCAUGGAAUGCAGCCUACUGGGCUCCUCCGUCCAUGGGAUUUUCCAGGCAAGAGUACUGGAGUGGGGUGCCAUUGCCUUCUCUGGUCUUAGUCUUAAGAACAUUCAAAUAACUUGACUGUAUCAGUUUGUGUCCAGAAUCUAUUCUGGAGUGAUUCAAGUAUAAAAAGACAGACUAUGUAGCAAUCUUUAAAGGCUUUUACUUAUAAGACUAAACACUUUUUGAGAUAACUGCAUAUUCAUAUGCAGUGGUAAGAAAUAAUACAGAGAGGUUUUUGUUUACCCUUCACCUGGAUUCCCACAAGAGGAACAUUUUGUAGAAGAAUAACACAGUAUCACAACCAGGAAAAUGACACUGAUACAAUCCAAUGACUAACUUUCACCAGUUUUGCAUGCAUUUGUUUGUGAUAUGUGUGCACAUAGUUCUGUGCAGUUUCACUGCAUAUGCAGAUUUGUGUGGCCACCCCCACAGUCAAGACACGAAUCUGCUGCUGCUGCUGCUAAGUCGCUUCAGUCGUGUCCGACUCUGUGCGACCCCAUAGACGGCAGCCCACCAGGCUCCCCCAUCCCUGGGAUUCUCUAGGCAAGAACACUGGAGUGGGUUGCCAUUUCCUUCUCCAAUGCAUGAAAGUGAAAAGUGAAAGUGAAGUCGCUCAGUUGUGUCUGACUCUUCGCGACCCCAUGGAAUGCAGCCUACUGGGCUCCUCCGUCCAUGGGAUUUUCCAGGCAAGAGUACUGGAGUGGGGUGCCAUUGCCUUCUCUGGUCUUAGUCUUAAGAACAUUCAAAU